rnacentral:rRNA from 1 species
GUGGGGAAUAUUGGACAAUGGGCGAAAGCCUGAUCCAGCCAUGCCGCGUGUGUGAAGAAGGUCUUCGGAUUGUAAAGCACUUUAAGUUGGGAGGAAGGGCAGUAAGUUAAUACCUUGCUGUUUUGACGUUACCGACAGAAUAAGCACCGGCUAACUUCGUGCCAGCAGCCGCGGUAAUACGAAGGGUGCAAGCGUUAAUCGGAAUUACUGGGCGUAAAGCGCGCGUAGGUGGUUUUGUAAGUUGGAGGUGAAAUCCCCGGGCUCAACCUGUGAACUGCCUCCAAAACUGCAUGACUAGAGUACGGUAGAGGGUAGUGGAAUUUCCUGUGUAGCGGUGAAAUGCGUAGAUAUAGGAAGGAACACCAGUGGCGAAGGCGACUACCUGGACUGAUACUGACACUGAGGUGCGAAAGCGUGGGGAGCAAACAGGAUUAGAAACCCGGGUAGUCC